rnacentral:rRNA from 1 species
CACGUAGUUAGCCGGGGCUUCUUAGUCAGGUACUGUCAAGGGCGCUCGCGCGCUUUUUCUUCCCUGCCGAUAGAGCUUUACAUACCGAAAUACUUCUUCACUCACGCGGCGUCGCUGCAUCAGGGUUUCCCCCAUUGUGCAAUAUCCCCCACUGCUGCCUCCCGUAGGAGUUUGGGCCGUGUCUCAGUCCCAAUGCGGCCGGUCACUCUCUCAAGCCGGCUACUGAUCGUCGCUUUGGUAGGCCAUUACCCUGCCAACUGGCUAAUCAGACGCGGGCCCAUCCUGUACCUAUAAAUAUUUGAUGGAAAUAUCAUGCGGUAUCUCCAUGUUAUGCGGUUUUAGCAGCCGUUUCCAACUGUUACUCCCCCUGUACAGGGCAGGUUACCCACGCGUUACUCACCCGUCCGCCUACUAACGUCUUAAUCCUUCCAUACCGAAAACUUCCGACACUAACGACCCCGUUCGACUUGCAUGUGUUAGCACGCCGCACGCGUUCAUCCUGACGCCAGGA